ensembl:lincRNA
UAUUUCUGGGGUUCCUGGGUUCGCAUUCAUUUUGCCAGCUUCCAAGAAGAGCGCAAAGCAGGCUCUGCCAUGUCGACGCGGAGGUGGGUGAGGCAGACUGCCGCGCUCUGCCUGCUGGCUUUCAUCCUCCACUCCCUGCCCCGACACAUUGCUGCUGAGAAUGGGACCACCGAGAGCGGAAGUGUGUGGGAUGGAGGAGGAAAUAGCACCCAAGACGACAGCCAGGAGACUCAGUUCCGGACGGUGUUGAAGACCAAAACCACAG